rnacentral:lncRNA from 1 species
GCUUCAGUUGGCUAUGAUUACGAUUAGUAUUGACAUACAGUUCACUACACUUUAUAUGGUGGAUUUUGGAACACUAGCGGAUCCUUCUCCCAGCGACUCCGCUCGUGUUCCAAUAUUCGCCAUGUAAAGUGUAGUGAAAAUGUAUCUCAAUACUAAUCAGUGCUUCCAUUUUGAAGGAAAUUUCCAUUUUGAAGGAAAUUUUAACUAGUUGUCGGAAAUUAUAAGGAAAUUCGAUCCUGAAGGAAAUUUGAAGGAAAUUUUCGGAAGAUUAAAGAAAUGUGAAGGAAAUUGCAUUAUUUCUAAAAAAAUCCUAAGAAUACGGCAAUUUCCAAGGGAAUGCGCUUCAAAAUAUGCCGAAAAUCGUGUCUGCGAGAUGCAAAAUCUGAAAAUUUUCUGGGGGAGGACCCCAGACCCCCCUUGCUUAUUCUCCUUCGUAAAAUCUAGGUAAACUCUUUGUCUCUCCCCUUUGAUAAUUCAGCUCCCGCAACUUCUAUGUUCCUUCUAGAACAAGAAAUAUCCGGUUAUUCGAGAUAAAUUACUAUAAAAUCAGUUUUAAAUUAGGUAAAAUUCAAUAAUUUUUAUUGCAAGGAAAUUUUUUAAAAAAUAAGGAAAUUUUGAACGGUUGGAAGGAAAUUAUGUUUUUUGAAAAUGGAAGCACUGAUACUAAUCGUAAUCAUAGCCAACUAAAGCCUGUGCUGAGGCGAAAGC